GCACUGAUGACGAGUCCCAAGCCGGACGAAACAACUGUCCAGUAC
rnacentral:hammerhead_ribozyme from 1 species